UAGAGUUGUAUGGGCAGAAUGUAGAGGGGAACAGCAGAAUCGCCAUGACUCCGGCUAGAAGGAUGGGUUGCAGGAGCGGCAGGAGAUAAAGCCAACCAGCCAUGUGAGAUUUUGGGGAUCAUGGGGGAUCAGGCAAAGGCCGGUAAGGUCUAAGGAUGUAACGAUCGGAAUUUGUGAGGCUGGAAAGCUGUGCUCACUCAGGUGGGAUGACGUGAGGACAAGGGCAAACGAACUCAGAUGUUUGAGUAUGAUACAGCGGCUUAAGAAACAAAUUCAGGGCUCGGCUCUUUCUCAUCUCCUGGGCCUGCCGUUUUAAUCUGCAGAAGGCUGAGGACUUAAAAUCUGGUUCCUGUGCAGUUUGUGUCUAGGACCCAGCCCAUCUCAGUUCUGGUGAUCCAGCUCGAGUUCAAGGCAAAGAAGCACUUUAUUCACUGGUCUGUGUAUGUGUGUGCGGUGUGUGCAUAUGUUUGUGUGCAGGCAGGGACUCUCAGUAACAUGGAACACAUCAAGAAGAGGAUGGCUGACCCAGGAGCCAGGGACCGGACUGUUUCUGUGCCGAUGCCCAGCUUCUGUGUGUUCUGGGUAUUGAAUGUGGGUCCUCAUGUUUGAGCUGCAAGCAUUUUACUGAGUAAGGUCUCUCUGCAGCCAUGCAUCUGUUUAAUCUCUGUGUAUAUAUGUUUAUCUCUGUAGCCAGGUCUGAGGGCCUGUGGGCAAAAGCAGAAAUCUGGAGUGGCACUGUUAUUACUUCAGAGUAAAAACUAAAAACCACAAUUGCUGGAGAGCAGACGGGAUCUUAGUUAUGAUCUCUUAUUAUUUCAUAAAUGUUAAUGUAGCGGCUGUUUUGAAUGGGGAUCUCCCAAGUUGCAAAGUAGACUUGUACCCCCAAAUGAAUCGAGGAAAUAAAAGAGAAAAUCAAGUGCA